AGCAACGCCUUCAUCUUGAUUUGCCAGAGACUGAAACUGUUCAUUCCAGUAAACUUGUCGAUCUUCAUAUUCAUCCCAGACAUCUUCUCACCAGAUUCAACCCGAAGUUCUGAUACAAGUUUGUUGUGACGGAUGUGAGAAGAUAGAGAUUAACAGAUGGAUAAACAAUAAAGAAAGACACAUAAAUUUAACGUGGUUCACCCCUAACGGCUACGUCCACGGG
rnacentral:lncRNA from 1 species